AAGUACAAAGGAUAGUCAUAUUUACUGAAACAUAUUUACACUUGGCUUCUUAUCUCUUUGCUCUAGCUUUUUCUACUUUAAUUUUUGAUUCGCAUUUUAGCAUUAUUGGAUACAAUAUGCUCGUGAUGUAUGCUUACAGGAUCAUAAGUGAACAGUGUGUUUAUUCACUGCAAUAAAAUCUUCUAAGGUUGAGCCUUUUAGUGUGGCCAACAAUAUUUUUUGAGUAUGAAGUACUCUGUUUUCUUUAUUGAGUUACUUAACAGGUGCAUUCACUUGAACCUUAACAAGGCCCCUCCCUUCCCAAACUAAGAACUGGAGAAAACUUCUAUACUGUACAGAGUGACCAAAAAUUUGGAUGGUUGACUGACAUUUCCCUAUGAAUUACAGAGAUAUUGGAUUUUGGUUACCCUCAAAACCUUUCACCUGAAAUCUUGAAGCUUUACAUUACUCAGGAUGGUGUACGCUCACCAUUUUCCUCCAAGCCUGUAGACAGACCAAUUCCAAAUGCUACUUUACAAGUAACUGGUGCUGUUGGCUGGCGCAGGGAAGGUCUUGUCUAUAAGAAGAAUGAGGUAUUUCUUGAUAUUGUUGAAAGUGUUAAUCUUCUUAUGUCUUCCAAAGGUAGCGUUCUACGUUGCGAUGUAACUGGGAAGAUCGUUAUGAAGUGCUUUCUUUCUGGAAUGCCUGAUUUAAAGUUGGGUUUAAAUGAUAAAAUUGGCCUUGAGAAAGAGUCACAAAUCAAGUCCCGCCCUAC